UGGAGGGUGCACUUGCAAACAGAGUGAAAAGCCAGAGGCUCUGUAGUAUCAAAUGGGUGGACUGCCCCCAGUUCCUGUGGGAUAUUGUGACUAGCUUGUUUGCAUAAUUCUGCCAGUUGGCAGGAUAACUGAAAAUUGCUACUCAGAGAUAAGUGCGAACAGCUCUCAAUUCAUCUGAUAGUUGGUGAGGGUUAUUUGGGUAGAAAUUCUCUUCCAUGGGAGCAGAGAGAACUUGCAGUUCUGCCAUUUGAGGCCUUCAGGAUACAACCUUCUGUCAAGGUAGUGCAUAAUUUUGGAAUGAAUUCUUAACUGGAUCAUAUCUUACUGUUUCCGGUUUGUCUUAUUCUGAAUCUGAAGCACAGGCAGGCCUACAGACUGGUGUGGCACAGUUCCACAUUCGCCAUCCCGACACACAACAAGAAACUCAACCUACAGAUAUCAAAUCACGGCAUUUAUAGCAGUAGUUUUUAGACGUGUACAAGAUGAAAAGGACAGAUUACAAUCAAUUCUAGGUGACAAUGGCAGCUUUCAAAAAAAUUCAAGUUCAGAACCAAGCAGAGAGUCCAGUGGUUCUACAGAAGAUUGCCAGGAGUGCAUGUUUUCAGAAUAUAAAGCUUUCUGAGCACCUUUGUCUCCUGGGAUGAAAGAUUAAGAAUCUAUUAUGACCUCAGCUCUUUGCUCAUGUCUCCAGCCAGAUUUGGAAAGGUGUUAAAUUUUUCAACAAUCUCUACUCCGAGCCUAAGAGAAGAAAAAGAAGAUGGAGACAAAGGAAGAAUAAAAUAGGAAAGGCAGUUGGGUAAAGACAGAUGAAUAAGUAUAGUUGUAGCACCCACCUCCUAGCUUGUGAGGAAAACCUAGCAACUCCUUUAAUUUAAUCUUCUGCCUUUACUCAAAAUAGAGUACUGCCUUUACCAACCUCUUGUGGUUUCAAACUUGAAAAAAGGCACCAGAAGAGAAUUGUACAAGGAAAAAUAAUUGUUCUUUUUUAAAAAAAAAAAAUCUAUGCAGGGAAUUUUCAAAGACAAUAAAUGAUUGAAAAUGGUAACACUGGUCUUUUCUGCUAUUUAUAGAAAGAGGAUUUGUGAAAAGUAAAAAUAAAAGGAAUUAUGUUGUAUUAGCCUUUCUCUCUCCUCCAGUAUCAUUGCGAUUCAUCCAGGCCAUCUGAUAAUGGUAUUACUCACCUAAUAUCACUCAUCCUGUCUAAAUUCAUCACUGUCUUCAUUUGCAGGCUUUCACCACAGCAUUUGGAUUUCUUUGAUGCCAUUCACCUCCUUUUUCCAUCUCUAGCACUUUGAAUGGUAUGCAAUAGAUAAUUGAUAAUAUAUUGAUACUAAUUAUGUCUUCAGAUCUGAACUUUCACAUUGAAAUGUUUCAAAAUGACUGCCAGCUCUCAUAAUAAGAAAUUAGAAUUCUCAAUGUGCUCAGCGGUAACGAACCUGACUAGUAUCCAUAAGGAU